AUGGCUCGUUGGCUACACCAGAAGCGGAAGCAAGCGGUUUUGAUGAAGAUCGACAUAUCCAAAGCCUUUGACACUUUAUCUUGGGAAUUCCUUCUCGAGGUAUUGCGGAAAAGAGGCUUUGGUAGAAGAUGGUGCUCCUGGAUUUGUGGUCUUCUCUCUACUGCAUCUUCAUCGGUUCUCAUCAAUGGAGAUUUGUGCCAGCCGUUUGCACUAGGUCAGGGGGUUAGGAAAGGUGAUUCGUUGUCGCCUACUCUUUUUAUCCUUGCCAUGGAUACGUUACACGGAUUAUUGCAAUGGGCAGUGCAGAACAAGUUGCUUUCUGAUCUUGAGUGCAAUCCAAGGUUGCCGAGGGCAUCUAUUUUUGCGGAUGAUGCAGUCCUGUUCUUCAAGCCGGUGCACUCAGUGUUGGGUAACGUAGUAAUUUCAAAAAAAUUCCUACGCACACGCAAGAUCAUGGUGAUGCAUAGCAACGAGAGGGGAGAGUGUUGUCCACGUACCCUCGUAGACCGACAGCGGAAGCGUUAUCACAACGCGGUUGAUGUAGUCGAACGUCUUCACGAUCCGACCGAUCAAGUACCGAACGUACGGCACCUCCGAAGUUCUACACACGUUCAGCUCGAUGACGUCCCUCGAACUCCGAUCCAGCCGAGUGUUGAGGGAGAGUUUCGUCAGCACGACGGCGUGGUGACGAUGAUGAUGUUCCACCGACGCAGGGCUUCGCCUAAGCUUCGCGACGGUAUUAUCGAGGUGUAA
rnacentral:rRNA from 1 species